AUUGAGCCAUGUACAUUUUACAACUGGCCGCAUGAAUAACUUGCAGCGAGGAACCGUGUUACUAUAAUGUCGUGAAAGACUCAUUUACACGACAUGGCGCAUGUCCUCAAAGCCUUCAUACGCACACACUAUGUAUAUGGAAUGUUGCAAAAAUAUUGAAAUCAAGCUACGGAACUUGAUUCCUCGGAUCUCAGUCCGUGCUCGAAUCAUUCAGGCUUCCCAGCAGCUUCCAUC
rnacentral:lncRNA from 1 species